GUAAUAACAUUUUUUGUUCAAGCUAGCAUCAGAGUCCAUGCAGGGCAUCACAAUUAGCACGUAUGUACGUACUUCGAAAAUACCAUACAUUGUAGCAAAUUGGCGCCUGUGGCUUGUUCUCACUGAUGAUACUGAGAUGGCAUUGAUUUUUUAUUAUACGGCUAGCUAGGAGCCGCUAGGUACUACAGGGUGGUGCUGGGCCUGAGACACAACUGUACGAAGAUAGAGGUAAUUUAACCUCAAAAACUUACUUUUAUCUAAAUUUUGAUGCUAGUACUAGUAUUAGUAACUCGUCACGAAACAGUACAGUGAGCUGAUCAAGGAUAGUCGCAUUACGGCGCAGGAGUUUCCCACUCCCCUGUGGAUUAAGAAUGACCACAAAGCGAAGUGCCUCAGGGAUAUUUUGAACACAAAUAAAGCUACACAGUUCUUAAUUAACACGUGAUUACAUAUACCAUGCAUCGGAAGAUCUAGCGGUAGGGCUAAAUUAGUGCGGCGCAGGCAAGCUUUG
rnacentral:lncRNA from 1 species